GUGAGCUCUGCAUCGUGGGAGUUUUGUUCUUAAAAAAUUUUCCAUUUUUUUCAGAUAAUCUCCCCCGUUAGACAGUUUUUUUAUAGUUUAUUAUAGUUUUAUUAAAUUAUAUUUAUUUCAUUUAAAAAAUUUUUUUCAACCUCGAGGAAAAAUUUGGAGGGGCUAAGAGAGUGGUUGAGCAUCACGCAGUAUAAGGCGAGAUACGAUGUUCAUCAAUUUAUAAUUCGAAAAUGUCAUUUCCGAGAUAUUGCAACUUUGCAUCUGACAUAUUUCGCCUUUGCUUGCGCUUCUUCAUGAAAAUACUUCCAAAGUAUUAAAAAUUUUAGAUGAGUAUUGUGAAUCUCAUAUUUUAUAAUAACUUAGUAGUAAAGAUUUUGAUUCUUUGUAGUUAUUUUUCAUGGAUUCCUCUGCACCUUUGAAGAGAAUUUUACUUUCAGAAAAAAUUCAUUGUCUACAGGAUUUAAACUAAAGAUAGGAUUGAUAAACUGGAAAUGUGGAUUAAUGAUAAUGAAAUUUCAAUAGGAGAGAAGACAUUACACUCACUCACUCAAAGGAAAUUAGCUGUGAUAGUCCAAUUCACAUUUGUACAAAGGCUAUAAAAGACAUGUGUAAAGCUGUUAUAAAUAAUCAAUGAGAGAAUCGUGAACAUUGGCUGUGUGCAGCAGAAAAAUUGUUUGUAGUAUUAAAACUUUGUUUUAAUACUAUACCAAUAAGCUUACAAUUCAAAUAAAUGUAUGUUUUGCUAAAAGUAUUUAUACUUAGGAUAUACAUGUUUGACAGGAAAGUUCAGUUCUCAAGCAUAUUGACAUAGAGCUUUCAUUAUUGGACCAACUUAUCACUUGUGGCACUUGAAAUUGAGUUCAUUAUGUGAGCGUUAUUAGAUGAUUGACAGCUUGACACAUGUAACAACAAAAAAGUUGAUAAUCACUUCAAAAUCUAUUCUCCAAGGCCCAUGGAAUAAUUCUAUGCUCACCUUCAUGAUCAAUAAAAUCAUAAACAACAAAGUUGUUUCACUGGUUUUUGAGUUUGAGCCAUGAGUUGGUUAUGUAAACAUAUACUUGCUAGAAUAAACUUAUACCUACAUGUUCUGGUUGCAAACCUAUUUUUCUUAGGUUUUCUUAAAACUCCCCAUUGAGCCACUAAAAUACCAAAUGUAUUUUCAAUAUAUCUAUGAGUCUUAGAAAACAAAUAAUUACUCUUUUGGAAAUAAUUUGUGUGUAAAAUUAUUGCAUGCAGUUAUUUUUAUUUUGAAAUAGUUUAUAAACAUUAAAUUUUAGACAUGUAUCAAAGUUAUUAACAGGUUUUUUCUGUUAGUAAUAAUCAGAUAAGUCAUUAAUGGUUUCAGACGAUUUCGAAAAUGCAUUUUUUUAUCACAUAAAAAAAUUCUAUUAAUAACAGUUACGAACAGUUUUUAACUCAAUUUAAAAAAUGUAAAUAAUUGUUUACAACUGUAAUAAAUAGUUAGUUAUCACAUGUGAUAAUUGAGAAAUAGUUUAAGUACUUAUAUAAUGCUAUUAUCAUUUAUUUUUUUUGCCUACAAGGACUUUUUUUGUGUCCGGUAUUGGCAAAUUAUGAAUUGUAAUUAAUUACAAAUAAUAGUUAUUAAUAUUUUAUUCUAAUAGGGAAAUGGUAAUA